rfam:Stegodyphus mimosarum contig101444, whole genome shotgun sequence.
AAAAAGGCUCUUUUCACAGCCACACACUUUCUGCAAUGAGUUGUGU